GACGAACGCUGGCGGCGUGCUUAACACAUGCAAGUCGAACGAUGAAGUUCCUUCGGGAAUGGAUUAGUGGCGAACGGGUGAGGAACACGUGAGAAACCUGCCUUUCAUUUUGGGAUAACUCCGGGAAACCGGGGCUAACACCGAAUACUCCGUCUCGGCGGCAUCGCUGAGCCGGGAAAAAAUUUUGAUGAAAGAUGGUCUCGCGGCCUUUCAGCUAGUUGGUGAGGUAAUGGCUCACCAAGGCAACAACGGGUAGCCGGCCUGAGAGGGCGACCGGCCACACUGGGACGGAGACACGGCCCAGACUCCUACGGGGGGCAGCAGUGGGGAAUAUUGGGCAAUGGGCGCAAGCCUGACCCCGCGACGCCGCGUGAGGGAUGAAGGCCUUCGGGUUGUAAACCUCUUUCAGUAGGGAAGAAGCGAAAGUGACGGUACCUAAAGAAGAAGCACCGGCUAACUAUGUGCCAGCAGCCGCCGUAA
rnacentral:rRNA from 1 species